UGAAAGUUGCUAGCUUAUGAACCAUGAUAAC
rnacentral:piRNA from 1 species